rnacentral:rRNA from 1 species
GCGUGCUCGGAAUUUAUGGGCGUAAAGAGUAAGGUAGGUGUCUCGUUUGUCUGGGGGUGAAAAGCCUUGAGCUUAACUCAAGAAGUGCCUUAGAAACGGCGAGACUAGAGUCUUGGAGAGGGUCGUGGAAAUUCCCGGUGUAGCGGUGAAAUGCGUAGAGAUCGGGAGGAACACCAGAGGGCGAAGGCGGCGACCUGGACAAAGUACUGACACUCAACUACGAAAAGCGUGGGGAGCAAACAGGAUUAGAUACCCUGGUAGUCCACGCUGUAAACGAUGGGUACUAGGUUUGGUGGGUCUUGACCCCUGCUGAACCGGAGCUAACGCAAUAAGUACCCCGCCUGGGAAGUACGGUCGCAAGACUAAAACUCAAAGGAAUUGACGGGGGCCCGCACAAGCGGUGGAUCAUGUGGUUUAAUUCGAAGCAACGCGAAGAACCUUACCUGGAUUUGACAUCCUCGGACAACCCUAGAGAUAGGGCUUUCGUAGCAAUACGACCGGGAGACAGGUGCUGCAUGGCUGUCGUCAGCUCGUGUGGUGACAUGUUGGGUUAAGUCCCGCAACGAGCGCAACCCUUGUCCUUAGUUGCCAGCAUUAAGUUGGGCUCUCUAAGGAGACUGCCGUGGUUAACACGGAGGAAGGUGGGGAUGACGUCAAGUCCUCAUGGCCUUUAUAUCCAGGGCGACACACGUGAUACAAUGGACGGUACAGAGGGACGCGAACCCGCGAGGGGGAGCUAAUCUCAAAAAGCCGUUCUCAGUUCGGAUUGGAGUCUGCAACUCGACUCCAUGAAGUUGGAAUCGCUAGUAAUCGCGGAUCAGCACGCCGCGGUGAAUACGUUCCCGGGCCUUGUACACACCGCCCGUCACACCAUGGGAGCUGACUCAACCAGAAGCCAGUAACGCUAACCGCAAGGGGGCGUCUGUCGAAGGUGGGGUUGGUGACUGGGGUGGAAGAUCG